GCAAGGAUACGUAGCUCAGUUGGUAGAGCAUGAGACUCUUAAUCUCAAAAGGCUUCUUGCAUUGAACAGAGUUGGACUAGAUGAUCCUUGGGUUCACUUCCAAUGCU